UGCAAGUCGAGCGAAGCGAUUUAGCGGAAGUUUUCGGAUGGAAGUUAGAUUGACUGAGCGGCGGACGGGUGAGUAACGCGUGGGUAACCUGCCUCAUACAGGGGGAUAACAGUUAGAAAUGACUGCUAAUACCGCAUAAGCGCACGGGGACGCAUGUUCUUGUGUGAAAAGCCGAGACGGUAUGAGAUGGACCCGCGUCUGAUUAGCUAGUUGGUGAGGUAACGGCCCACCAAGGCGACGAUCAGUAGCCGACCUGAGAGGGUGACCGGCCACAUUGGGACUGAGACACGGCCCAAACUCCUACGGGAGGCAGCAGUGGGGAAUAUUGCACAAUGGGGGAAACCCUGAUGCAGCGACGCCGCGUGAGUGAAGAAGUAUUUCGGUAUGUAAAGCUCUAUCAGCAGGGAAGAGAAUGACGGUACCUGACUAAGAAGCCCCGGCUAACUACGUGCCAGCAGCCGCGGUAAUACGUAGGGGGCAAGCGUUAUCCGGAUUUACUGGGUGUAAAGGGAGCGUAGACGGCUGGACAAGUCUGAAGUGAAAGCCCAGGGCUCAACCCUGGGACUGCUUUGGAAACUGCCCGGCUAGAGUGCUGGAGAGGUAAGUGGAAUUCCUAGUGUAGCGGUGAAAUGCGUAGAUAUUAGGAGGAACACCAGUGGCGAAGGCGGCUUACUGGACAGUAACUGACGUUGAGGCUCGAAAGCGUGGGGAGCAAACAGGAUUAGAUACCCUGGUAGUCCACGCGGUAAACGAUGAAUACUAGGUGUUGGUGUGCAAAGCACAUCGGUGCCGUCGCAAACGCAAUAAGUAUUCCACCUGGGGAGUACGUUCGCAAGAAUGAAACUCAA
rnacentral:rRNA from 1 species